rnacentral:rRNA from 1 species
UGUGGUUUAAUUCGAAGCAACGCGAAGAACCUUACCUAAGCUUGACAUCCCAAUGACAUCUCCUUAAUCGGAGAGUUCCUUUCGGGGACAUUGGUGACAGGUGGUGCAUGGUUGUCGUCAGCUCGUGGCGUGAGAUGUUGGGUUAAGUCCCGCAACGAGCGCAACCCUUGUCUUUAGUUGCCAUCAUUAAGUUGGGCACUCUAGAGA